rnacentral:rRNA from 1 species
CUUGACCUCAAAUCAGGUAGGACUACCCGC